rnacentral:rRNA from 1 species
UACGGAGGGUGCAAGCGUUGCUCGGAAUUAUUGGGCGUAAAGGGUAGGUAGGUGGUCUUGUUUGUCGUUGGUGAAAGCCUUGAGCUUAACUUAAGAAGUGCCGACGAAACGGCAAGACUCGAGUUCUAGAGAGGGUCGUGGAAUUCCCGGUGUAGCGGUGAAAUGCGUAGAGAUCGGGAGGAACACCAGAGGCGAAAGCGGCGACCUGGCUAGGGACUGACACUCAACUACGAAAGCGUGGGGAGCAAACAGGAUUAGAUACCCUGGUAGUCCACGCUGUAAACGAUGGGUACUAGGUUUGGAGGGUCUUGACCCCCCCUGAACCGGCGCUAACGCACUAAGUACCCCGCCUGAGGAGUACGGUCGCAAGACUAAA